rnacentral:rRNA from 1 species
GAUGAACGUUGGCGGUGCGCCUAAUACAUGCAAGUCGAACGGAGACAGUAGCAAUAUUGUCUUAGUGGCGAACGGGUGAGUAACGCGUUGGUGAUCUGCCUCGAAGUGUGGAAUAACGUUCCGAAAGGAAUGCUAAUACCGCAUGGUCUUCUGGUUUUUAGAAAACUGGAAGUAAAGGAUUUAUUCGCUUCGAGAGGAGCCUGCGUCCCAUCAGCUAGUUGGUAAGGUAAUGGCUUACCAAGGCUAUGACGGGUAGGGGGCCUGAGAGGGUGGCCCCCCACACUGGCACUGAAACACGGGCCAGACACCUACGGGUGGCUG